rfam:Triticum urartu cultivar G1812 contig920498, whole genome shotgun sequence.
CAUAUACUCCCUCCGUUCCAAAUUACUCGUCGCAGAAAUAGAUGUAUCUAGAACUAAAAUACAUCUAGAUACAUCCAUACCUGCAACAAAUAAUUCAAAACGGAGGGAGUAGUAU